AGAAUUUAAAUUUUUUUUGUUAUUUUUUUUUAAUAAUUUUUUUUUUUAACUAACCAACCAACGUGUGAAUGUUAUGCAGGGAGGGUUUUGUUCAACAGGUUUGCUCUUCUUUCUUUAUUCCAAUUUGUUGCUCGCGUAAACUACUCUUUUUGUGGAUUACAGUAAAUCAAUAUCAUAACCAUCGUUGAUAUAAAAUAUUGAUUACAGUAGAUCAAUAUCAUAACCAGCUCGUAGCCAGCGUUGUCGCCAUAUUGAGAUUUCUUUUUGUCAAAAAACAGAAAAACUUUGAUAAAGAAAUACACGCCAUUGAGAGACUGCCGCGUGUUCCAUUUCAAAGAACCGAAUGAAACCCUUCGAGAACCCUCGCCCACUUUGUCCUCUUUGUUUUCUCUCCGACCCCUCUUCACCCGCUCUAUCCUCUUCCAGUCUCCUUCUCAUGGCCUCUCGAUGUCGCUCGAUCGCGAGACCCGCCCUCUCUUUCCUCAAGUCUUCCGUGAGGAAACCCUGCAGCCCGCUCUCCCCUAGUCUUCUCAUUCGUCCCGUUCCUUCUUUUCCGAGGGUUCCUCGCGUGAUGGGUUCUUUGCAAUCCCUCCAGCCGUUCCACAGCGCGGUGUCUUCGGCCCGGUUGACCUCACGGCUCGGGAUAGACUCCACGGCGGGCUCGAGGUCGCUGUCCCAGGGUACGCUCUGCAGUUCCAACCCCGGAGUCUGAUCCUUUGUUUUCCUCCAAUUUCUCUCUGAGCUAUAUUGUGGAGCCUUUCUGUGCCUCGAUAAAAGGCUGUGGUGGCUGUGGAUGUACUUUACCUCAAAGCUUCCUCAGAACUAACUUUGAUUCGGAUGUUUGCUGUUUUGAGCUGCACUAGAUUGAGGUCAUUUGUGUAAGGCACUCAUCUUUGUCAAUUUAUGAACUAUGUUACACCCCACACAAAGGAGGGAGCUGAUUUAUUUGGGUUAUCGUAGUGGUUUUGUUUCUCAUAAUUUUUGUAACUCUUUGGUCGAUAUCAUAUCAGUUCUAAAAACAUGAUGAGCUGCAACUCCCAAAUUUGUCAUUUGAGAACCUAUUGAAUAGAUGGUCACCGGAGAAUGUGAUGAACGGAAUUUCAGUUGAAUAAACCAGCAGGCUGGCCUUUCCUUUGUAUGAA